AAUUAAUUAAUAAGANAUUAAGUGAGAUCAUUAAAUUUAAAUAAUUUGGCGGUAUUUUAAAUAGUUAGAGGAAUUUGUUAGUUAAAUGAUACUCCACGAAUGGAAUGUCCUGAUGAAGUUUUUAUGUAUUGUUGUAUAAAAAUUAUUUUAUAAGAAUUAUAAUUAAUAUAUUAUAUUUAAUUUGAAUUCAAAUCAAAAUGUAGAAUUAUUAGGAUUAAAUGAAUUACAGUUUAAUAUAAUAUUAGAAUUAUUUUUUUAAUUAAAAUAAUAAAAGAGGAUUUAAAAGUAAAUUUAAAUAAAUAUUUAAAUUGAAAUUUUAAUUAAAAUAUG
rnacentral:rRNA from 1 species